ensembl:snRNA U6 U6 spliceosomal RNA
GUGCUCACUCACUUUGGCAGCACGUACAGUAAAACUGGAAUGAUACAGAGAAGAUUAGGAUGGCCCUUACGCUAGGAUGACUUGCAAAAAACGUCCCAUGUUUUU